UACAGAGGGGGCAAGCGUUGUUCGGAAUUACUGGGCGUAAAGGGCGCGUAGGCGGCCUUCUAAGUCGAACGUGAAAUCCCCGGGCUCAACCCGGGAACUGCGUCCGAUACUGGAAGGCUUGAAUCCGGGAGAGGGAUGCAGAAUUCCAGGUGUAGCGGUGAAAUGCGUAGAUAUCUGGAGGAAUACCGGUGGCGAAGGCGGCAUCCUGGACCGGCAUUGACGCUGAGUGAGCGAAAGCCAGGGGAGCAAACGGG
rnacentral:rRNA from 1 species